AUUGGUUUAGUAAAUUCCAUAUAAACAGUUUCAAAAACUAGAGACACGAAUCUGUACUUACCGAAAGUUAGUUGGUAGUUUUUGUUUAGUUAGUUCGUUAGUAGUUAUUUCUACUUUUGUUGAAAAAAUUAUUGUGCUAUGAGUGUUUACGAAUGAGUUUAUCUACGAUUUAUAUUAACAGAGGCCCUUGUCUUUUGAUCUAGCCAGUACCAAAAAAACAGCGCCACCAUGGACGCGAUCAAGAAGAAAAUGCAAGCGAUGAAGCUUGAAAAAGACAAUGCGGCUGAUAAAGCCGAUGCGAUGGAAGGUCAAUACAAAGACGCCAACGGUCGUGCUGAAAAGGUCAAUGAGGAAGUACGUGAUCUUGAAAAGAAACUCUCUCAAGUUGAAAAUGACCUCACCACCAACAAAAAUGCCUUAGAAAAUGCCAACCAACAACUUGAAAACAAAGAAAAACAAUUAACUCAGGCUGAAUCUGAAGUAGCCUCUCUUAACCGUAAAGUACAACUUAUUGAAGAAGACUUGGAAAGAUCCGAGGAACGUUUGGGCACAGCUACCACUAAAUUGGCUGAAGCUUCCCAAGCUGCCGAUGAAAGCUCCCGUAUGUGCAAAGUAUUGGAAAACCGUUCCCAACAAGAUGAAGAACGUAUGGACCAACUCACCAACCAAUUGAAAGAAGCCCGUCUCUUGGCUGAAGACGCUGACAACAAAUCUGAUGAAGUAUCCCGUAAACUUGCCUUCGUUGAAGACGAACUUGAAGUAGCUGAAGACCGUGUAAAGGGUGGAGAUGCCAAGAUCAUGGAACUCGAAGAAGAACUGAAAGUCGUAGGUAACUCUCUCAAAUCUCUCGAAGUAUCCGAAGAAAAAGCCAACCAGAGGGUAGAAGAAUUCAAGAAACAACUUAAGAGUCUUACCGUCAAGCUAAAGGAAGCUGAAGCACGUGCCGAAUUCGCAGAAAAGACCGUCAAGAAAUUGCAGAAGGAAGUUGACAGACUUGAAGAUUUUGUGCUAAGGGAAAAGAACAAAUACUUUGGCAUUAUUACAGAUAUCGACAAAACUUUUGUCGAAAUGUCUUCGCUUAGCCAAAAGAAAUAAUCUGCUACUAAUCAUAGCUUAAACUAACACAAAUUUUAAUUAUUUUAACACGUUACACACCACUUUUAUUCAGACCUCAGAAGUUUUCGUACUUAAAAAGAACAAUAGGAAAUAUGAAAACAAUAAGUAGUAGCAAAACGCGUUACGCACAAGUCGUUUACCUUUAAAUGUCGUUCUGUAGAACUUAGGUAAUCCACGUAGACGAAAAGUGACUACUUAAUUCAUCAUUGCACAACUCUCUAGGUAAUUUCCAGAAUGAGUGUUAGGCUAAGGCCAUACAGGCGAUAAUUUAACGCACCCAUCUUCGGCGUCGUGUUGCAAACGAAUGGACCUGGGUCCAAAUUUGUAGCUCAUCUAGCCACAACAACGGCCAAAAUACUGUAUUUACAUCUCGCGACAUACCGUAAUUUACAUCCCCGUCUGACCAUGCUUUUUACUGCAGCUACUGCCGCAUCAUUUUACUGCUCUUACGGCGCCGUAAAUUAUCGCCUGUCUGGCCUUAGCCUUAGAUUCUUCCAUGAAAUCAACCAAAAGCACGUCGCGUUUACAGUACCGUCAGUGUCACGAAAGCUGAAGCUAACAGCUCUCUUCGUAGAAGUCGCAGUACCUUCAGAUAGCUUUUUUUCUAUGGCAAAAGGAAAAUGCAGUAUAAUCAUGAGUACUGUGGCUUGAUUCAAGAUCUUUAAUUUCUUCUUCAUAUCAAAUAGAGAUUCUCUAUCAGUACUGAUAGUGAGAAUAAUCGACUUAUUGGUCUAUCCUUGUGAUAAGACUGGUCAAUUUUUCGUUGCUCAUUAGAAUAGAAUGACAGAAGGAACCAAUUGCCUGCACAAAUAUUUAUUUGUGAAGGAUAAUUGUUGGUUGUUAAAAAACAGUAAUUCUAUAGUAGUUUAUUACUAUAGAAGAGACGGGUAUAGUAUAUACAGACAUUUUUUGUGCAGUUCUUAAUAAUAAAUGAGUGUCUAUGGCUGAGCAGACUCUUACAUCCUUCAACAAUGAGAAUUUUCUUCUGCCUAGGCUGCUUUUUCCUUCAAUCUUCCUUUCCGUUAUGAGGCGUAAAAAUUGUAUUUUUCUCUUCUGCUUCAUUGAAGAGGAUAUGGUGGUAAAAAUGGUGAAAACCUUUAAUUAUCCAUGUCUGUCUGUCCGUCCGUAAAUAUAACUCCUCUGUUAUUAGAACAUAUAGAAUAACAAAACAGAAGCACUUUUGUAAAGUCGCCAUGCGUCUUAGCAAGGCGAGAACAAAUAUAUACUUCAGGUUUUUAUAUCACUUCUGGUUAAAAAGUUAUGACCGGGAGUUUGGCAAAAAUGACUCCAAAUUAGAGAAAUCGUAUAUCAAUCGAUGCAAAGUUACACAAAAAGUUCAAAGAUCGACUUCCAGUUCUAGUUCCGGUCAAGUUGGGUGAACACCUAGGACUUACGAAGUCCAAUUUCUUGUUUCUGCAUGAUUUUGUUCGCCUGACAUGACAUCGCUCUCUAUACGCUGUGAGCUCGUACGUAGAGGGGAUAUUUACAAAUUCGCGAACGCCAGUAGUGACAAGUCUGUAAACCUUUACCGGAAAUUUGACAUAAAUGUCAAAGUGAUUAAUUUAAAAUUAAAAUUAAAAACAUUAAUUAUAAAAAACUUUAGUUGGUCAAAGCUGUGGUAUAUAUUUUUACCUUAAAUAUGCUUACGUUUUAAAUACUGAAUUUAAGUUUUUUUAAUGUUCUAUUAAUCUAUUAAUCCAUUAAUCUUAGCGCCAUCUACACGAUAAUUGUGAAAGUAUCCGAAGUAAGAAAUUCAUAUUUUGUCAAUAGAACGUCAAAAUGAUUAGCAAAAUCUUAAAAAAAUCCAUUACAAUUUAAUUACUUUUUUGCGUUGUAAAUAUUAAGCGAUAACAAUUAAAUAAUAAAUUUAAAAAUUACCGGUGAAAGUUGAAUAGUAGUCCGCCAGGAGCGACAUCAGCGAAGCUCACAGCGUAUAGAUAACUAUAUAAAUAUUUAUAAAACCAGUCAAUAUUGCAGACUAUUUCACUCAUCUUAAAAUUUUCACAUAAUCUGACCAAUCACAAACCAAAGACAGCUUGUGUUAUCGCGAAAACACCAACUGUCUUUCAAUUCUGAUUGGUCUAUCAGCUUCGUGUUUUCAACGACGUAACCAUGGAUACCUGAUGGAUACCGAUCGCAAAGCAAAGUUUGACGUUUGCCAAAAAAAUUAUUGUAGCUGUAUACGUCAAAAUGAGUCGUUUCGGUGGUACUUCAAACGAAGUUAUAAACCAAAACAUUGAAGAAAAUAUACCGAGUAACACAAGAAAAUCUAAAUCUUAUAUAUGGAGACAAUUUAUGAUGUUCUGUGUGGAUCGCAACUACAAAUUAGAUGCAGAAAAUAACAACGAAAGACUAGCAUUCAUUCUAAAAGACUGAGCCUUCAACUAUUUAUUGUUAUAGGUAAAAAAUAAUUAUAACAAAUUAUUUAUAAUUACGUAUUUUUUAUGGGAAAUAAGCCACAAUUUUACUAAAAAAUGAAUUUAUUAACGUUUCGAAGCUGUUAAUUAAACGAUUUGGGCUUCGAAACGUUAAUAAAUUCAUUUUUUAGUAAAAUUGUGGCUUAUUUCCCUUAAAAAAUACGUAAUUAUAAAAAUGCCACAAGGAAAUAGCUUCAGAACAAAAUUAUUUAUAGUUAUAAUAAAUAUUUCAUGAUUAUGACUAAUUGUGAAUUAUUCAAAGAAUGGGUAGAUUUGGGUUACCUAGAUCAAAUGUAUUAUUAUUAAAUUCCUUCCUCUCAUUCUUCUGAAUUUUUGACCUAUCACUUUGUUCGUGAAAUAGUCUAAUAAAAUACCACUCGUGAUUUAAUUUAUCUUAUAAGUCUGUCUUUUAUUUCUAAACUCAACUGAGUUGCUUAAAGAAAACACCACUCGUCCUACGGACUCGUGGUGUUUUCAAGCAACUCAGUUUCGUUUAGAAGUAAAUCGACAGAUUUAUCGCGAAAAUUGAAUCACUAGUGGUAUUACUAUUGAAAACUCUGGGGUAAACUGAAAACAAUAGUGUGUAGCGUGUUAAAUGAUCAAAAAAAUAGCUUUUAGUACAACAAUAAACUAAUAGCUACUUUUUCCAAAAGUUGAAGGGUCUCUAUGUCUUUGAUUUUAUACUGGUCCUUGUAAAUACCUAUAAAUUAGUCUGAUAGUAUUGUAAAUUAUAAUUUUAUAUGUUAAUAUGUUAAAUGCUGAAAGAUAAUUCGAUUAUUAUAAAUCAAAUGUUUGAAUGCAUUUCCGUUGGUAUACCAAUUUCUAUCAAAUCAAAGUAUUAUAAACAUUUGUUGUUACAUACCAUGUACCAGCUUGUGUUCACAUAAAUAUACAGGAGGAUUGGAGUCCAUAUUGGCACCAUUAUUCAAGGCGACCACCUAAUACAAUGAAAUAUUUUAUCGUGGUACGAAGUGGGAUUCAUUUUUGGCUUUAUUUUCAUUUUAAUCGCCAAAAAACUCCAUAAUAAGCCUCAAAUUUAGCUUAAGAAUAAACGUAGUAUUAUAGAGGUGUGUAUUUAUUUACAAGUGAGCUAUAUUGAAGUUGUGAAAAGCUUGACGUUAAGUCCGUACACCGGCAGUCGAGGGUUGAAAUAUAUCAACUCGUAAUUAAACAAAAAUAUGUUAUGAAUCUGAGACAUAAGUGAUGAUAGAAAAUUAAAAAGGAAAAUUAGAAGUUUUUGAAAGAAAAACUCCGACAAACGAAAAGAAGAUAUCUAGAUCCAAAUGUAAUCAUAAACUUUAUCAACUGUUCAAAGAAACAUUUAUCUUAGAAUUUGCUAAACUUCAGAGUCUUCAUUGGGCUGAUGAUAUUGUAACAAUGGAUGAUGAUAUAUUGCCAACAAGAGUACUAGACAAUAAAAGACGGGACAAAAGACCAAAAAUGAGACGAGGUCUUAGAGAAGAUGAGAGAUGAGUAAAGGGACAGUCGAUGUGCAAAAUUUGAUGGACGUAAGCAGUGCGUAAUCAAAUGUCAGAAGAAGAACAUGUUUAAAAAUUCCGUAGAUGAUCAUUUAAAUGUUUUGAAGGUAUGAAACUAAUAAAGACUGGUGUAAAGACUGAAUUACUUAAUUUAGUAUAUCUUGUGUUUGUUUUAUAACAUAUUCAAUGUUAGAAUUACUACAGCUGACGAUACCCAGAAAAAUAAUAUGCAGGACAAGAACACAGAUUAAAACGUUAUUGCACGUAUGAAAAAUAUUCCAACCAUUUCUAUCAACCUUAAAAACAGCUAUUAUGGUUUAAGAAAAAAAAACAGCUGAGAAUUUUUGGCUUUUCUUUUGCCAGUAGUUGCAGUAUUUUCAUAAUUUGUCUAACCUACACAAUCAUCAAUAGUUGUGCUCAGUUUCUAGAACUCUUGACUUUGCCAACAAUUCGUAUUAAUAAUAUUCGUACUAGAAGGGAAUAAAGCUAAAAAUGCAAUCCCAGCUUUAAAUGUAAUAAAAUUUAAAAUGUCAUAUGAUUAAGAACAAUUUUUACAAUUGUUAGUUAAACAAUUUAUCCAUUCCAUAAGUGACAUAUUGGACACAAAAACUAACAAACUUUAUUUACUAACAUUAGCAGCUUUUCAUCAUUGCUUCAGCUUUUCAUCAUUGCUUCAGCUUUUUGCAAUUUAGACGAACUUGGAAUCAACAAGGACAGGUACAAGUCCCUUGCCGACGAAAUGGACUCCACCUUCGCCGAACUUGCUGGAUACUAAGAAAAUCUCUUCGUCUUCGUUCGCCACGAUUUAUCAUCUAGUCAUCAUGGUGUGAAGAAUAAUUAACUAAUUAAUUUAUAUAUUGUAUUUCAGACAUUGUGAAAAGAUUCAGAAAGUGUCACACUAAUUUGUGAGCUUUGAUGUGCCCUUUUAUUCUAGUCUAUUAAGCAUCUAGGAAGCCGUUCAGUUGAUUUAAAUAAAAAAUCUUGUAUAAUAUUCAGUUGCUUUCGUUUUAUUUAUUGAAUUAAAUUAUUGUUUACUAUUUUUA